rnacentral:misc_RNA from 1 species
UUAAGUUCAGCGGGUAUCCUACCUCGAUCCGAGGUCAAACUUUCAGAAGUGGGGGGUUUAACGGCGUGGCCGCGCUGCGAUCCAGUGCGAGUGUUGCUACUACGCAGAGGAAGCUACAGCGAGACCGCCACUAGAUUUAGGGGACGCGCGCCACGAGGACACGCCGAUCCCCAACACCAAGCCCGGGGGCUUGAGGGUUG